CUCCAUGGCGCUAGUCGUAAACCCUGAUAGAACCACAUCACAAAUCUAUCCGCCAGGGGACUACUAGUAACUAACUUAAAACUCCAAGGACUUGACGGUGUUCCAUAUCAUCCUAGAGGAGCCUGUCCUAUAACCGAUAAUCCACGUUUUACCUCACCCUCUCUUGCAAUUCCAGUCUAUAUACCGCCGUCGCCAGUCUACCUUUUGAAAGCAAAAAUUAGUAGACAAAAUAGUACCUUCACUAGCACGUCAGGUCGAGGUGUAGCUAACGAGAGGGAAGAGAUGGGCUACAUUGUCUUCAUUAAUAGACCCCCACCAUCAACUACAUGAAAUAAUAGUUAUAAGUCGGAUUUAGUAGUAAACCAAGGCAAGUCAUGCCUGAUUGAAGAACGCUCUGGAACGCGUACACACCGCCCGUCACCCUCUGCAUUAAA
rnacentral:rRNA from 1 species